rnacentral:rRNA from 1 species
GACGAACGCUGGCGGCGUGCCUAAUACAUGCAAGUAGAACGCUGAAGGAGGAGCUUGCUUCUCUGGAUGAGUUGCGAACGGGUGAGUAACGCGUAGGUAACCUGCCUGGUAGCGGGGGAUAACUAUUGGAAACGAUAGCUAAUACCGCAUAAGAGUAGAUGUUGCAUGACAUUUGCUUAAAAGGUGCAAUUGCAUCACUACCAGAUGGACCUGCGUUGUAUUAGCUAGUUGGUGAGGUAACGGCUCACCAAGGCAACGAUACAUAGCCGACCUGAGAGGGUGAUCGGCCACACUGGGACUGAGACACGGCCCAGACUCCUACGGGAGGCAGCAGUAGGGAAUCUUCGGCAAUAGACGGAAGUCUGACCGAGCAACGCCGCGUGAGUGAAGAAGGUUUUCGGAUCGUAAAGCUCGGUUGUAAGAGAAGAACGAGUGUGAGAGUGGAAAGUUCACACUGUGACGGUAGCUUACCAGAAAGGGACGGCUAACUACGUG